UUUCUCGACCGUAGGGAGGUCGAAGAAUAAGCGCUGGGCAAGACCGGUGCCAGCCGCCGCGGUAAUACCGGCCGCACAAGUGAUGGCCAGAUCUUAUUGGGCCUAAAGCGUCCGUAGCUGGCCAGGCAAGUCCAUCGGGAAAUCCACCCGCUCAACGGGUGGGCGCCCGGUGGAAACUGCCCGGCUCGGGACCGGAAAACCCAACGGGUACGUCCAGGGUAGGAGUGAAAUCCUGUAAUCCUGGACGGACCGCCAAUGGCAAAAGCACGUUGGGAAAACGGAUCCAACAGUGAGGGACAAAAGCUAGGGUCUCGAACCGAAUUAAAUACCCGGGUAGUCCUAGCUGUAAACAAUGCUCGCUAGGUGUGGCACAGGCUACCCGCCUGUGCUGUGCCGUAGGGAACCCGCUAACCGAGCCGCCGGGAAAGUACUUCUGCAAGGAUGAAACUUAAAGGAAUUGGC
rnacentral:rRNA from 1 species